rnacentral:lncRNA from 1 species
CCAGAGGGUGGCCUGGAUGGCCUUCCAGACGCCCCCUGGGAUCACAUCACAACCUUCAGCUGCUCCAUCGUGUCUAGAAGCCAGCGUAUCCCCAGCAGCCCUUCUCGGCUCCUUCAGCAGCAAACCUUUCCAUUUAGAGAGAUUCUAAGACCCCAGUUUUAAUAAGAAAAAAAAAGUACAGUAGCUAUUGUCAGUGAGCUUAUGUGUUUCUAGGCAGAUCUUCAGUAUUUACAAGGUGUGAACGUUUUCUUACCCCCAGGGCCCAAGAAUUAGAAUUGGAAGAUCAUCAAAGCAGACUGGAACAGAAAUUAAGACAGAAAAUGCUCAAGGAGGAUCGGUUCCCAUCGUCACCAUCCCCCAGCACCUCAGUGCCCAGCCCUGCUCAGGGGAAAUCUGGACAUGGAAGCCAAAGCUGCCCCUUAGAAGCGCUUUGUGUUUCCUUCCAGCCUGCAU